rnacentral:rRNA from 1 species
AGAGUUGAUCAUGGCUCAGAACGAACGCUGGCGGCAUGCCUAACACAUGCAAGUCGAACGAGACCUUCGGGUCUAGUGGCGCACGGGUGCGUAACGCGUGGGAAUCUGCCCCUCGGUUGGGAAUAACACAGAGAAAUUUGUGCUAAUACCUUAUAAUGUCUUCGGACCAAAGAUUUAUCGCCGAGGGAUGAGCCCGCGUAGGAUUAGGUAGUUGGUGGGGUAAUGGCCUACCAAGCCGACGAUCCUUAGCUGGUCUGAGAGGAUGAUCAGCCACACUGGGACUGAGACACGGCCCAGACUCCUACGGGAGGCAGCAGUGGGGAAUAUUGGACAAUGGGCGAAAGCCUGAUCCAAGCAAUGCCGCGUGAGUGAUGAAGGCCUUAGGGUUGUAAAGCUCUUUUACCCGGGAUGAUAAUGACAGUACCGGGAGAAUAAGCUCCGGCUAACUCCGUGCCAGCAGCCGC